rnacentral:rRNA from 1 species
CAUGAAAGCCAAUCCACCCUGAACAUGCCCGAUCUCAUCUGAUCUUGGAAGCUAAGCAGGGCUGGGCCUGGUUAGUACUUGGAUGGGAGAAGAAUGUAGCUAGGAUGA